CCUACGGGAGGCAGCAGUGAGGAAUAUUGGUCAAUGGGCGAGAGCCUGAACCAGCCAAGUCGCGUGAGGGAUGACGGCCCUACGGGUUGUAAACCUCUUUUGCCGGGGGACAAACGGCGGCACGCGUGCCGUCCUGUGGGUACCCGGAGAAAAAGCAUCGGCUAACUCCGUGCCAGCAGCCGCGGUAAUACGGAGGAUGCGAGCGUUAUCCGGAUUUAUUUGGCUUAAAGGGAACGGAGGCGGUGUUUUAAGUCUGAUGUGAAAGCUUUCGGCUUAACCGGAGUAGUGCAGUGGAAACUGGGAGACUUGAGUGCAGAAGAGGAGAGUGGAAUUCGAGGUGUAGCGGUGAAAUGCGUAGAUAUAACGAAGAACACCAGUGGCGAAAGCGGCUCUCUGGUCUGCAACUGACGCUGAGGUUCGAAAGUGUGGGUAUCAAACAGGAUUAGAUACCCGAGUAGUC
rnacentral:rRNA from 1 species